UACGUAGGGUGCGAGCGUUAAUCGGAAUUACUGGGCGUAAAGCGUGCGCAGGCGGUUUUGUAAGCCAGAUGUGAAAUCCCCGGGCUUAACCUGGGAAUGGCAUUUGGGACUGCAAGGCUUGAGUGCGGCAGAGGAGACUGGAAUUCCUGGUGUAGCGGUGAAAUGCGCAGAUAUCAGGAGGAACACCGGUGGCGAAGGCGGGUCUCUGGGCCGAUACUGACGCUGAGGAGCGAAAGCCAGGGGAGCAAACGGG
rnacentral:rRNA from 1 species